rnacentral:rRNA from 1 species
GACGAACGCUGGCGGCGUGCUUAACACAUGCAAGUCGAACGGAAAGGCCCUGCUUUUGUGGGGUGCUCGAGUGGCGAACGGGUGAGUAACACGUGAGUAACCUGCCCUUGACUUUGGGAUAACUUCAGGAAACUGGGGCUAAUACCGGAUAGGAGCUCCUGCUGCAUGGUGGGGGUUGGAAAGUUUCGGCGGUUGGGGAUGGACUCGCGGCUUAUCAGCUUGUUGGUGGGGUAGUGGCUUACCAAGGCUUUGACGGGUAGCCGGCCUGAGAGGGUGACCGGCCACAUUGGGACUGAGAUGCGGCCCAGACUCCUACGGGAGGCAGCAGUGGGGAAUAUUGCACAAUGGGCGGAAGCCUGAUGCAGCAACGCCGAGUGCGGGAUGACGGCCUUCGGGUUGUAAACCGCUUUCGCCUGUGACGAAGCGUGAGUGACGGUAAUGGGUAAAGAAGCACCGGCUAACUACGUG